UACGAAGGGGGCUAGCGUUGCUCGGAAUCACUGGGCGUAAAGCGCACGUAGGCGGCUUUUUAAGUCAGGGGUGAAAUCCUGGAGCUCAACUCCAGAACUGCCUUUGAUACUGAGAGGCUUGAGUCCGGGAGAGGUGAGUGGAACUGCGAGUGUAGAGGUGAAAUUCGUAGAUAUUCGCAAGAACACCAGUGGCGAAGGCGGCUCACUGGCCCGAUACUGACGCUGAGGCACGAAAGCGUGGGGAGCAAACAGGG
rnacentral:rRNA from 1 species